rnacentral:rRNA from 1 species
GAUGAACGCUAAGCGGCAGGCCUAACACAUGCAAGUCGAGGGGCAUCAUGGCGUAGCAAUACGCUGAUGGCGACCGGCGCACGGGUGCGUAACGCGUAUGGAACCUACCCACCGCAGGGGGAUAACCCGCCGAAAGGCGGACUAAUACCCCAUGGUUCCCCGACCCUGCCUGGGGUUGGGGGUAAAGCCUACGGGCGGCGGUGGAUGGCCCUGCGUGCCAUUAGCUGGCUGGUGGGGUAACGGCCCACCAGGGCGACGAUGGCUAGGGGGUCUGAGAGGACGAUCCCCCACACUGGUACUGAGACACGGACCAGACUCCUACGGGAGGCAGCAGUGAGGAAUAUUGGUCAAUGGGGGAAACCCUGACCCAGCGACGCCGCGUGGGUGAAGAAAUCCUUCGGGAUGUAAAGCCCUGUUGUAUGGGAAGAGCGGAAGACGGUACCAUACGAGGAAGCCCCGGCAAACUACGUG